UACGAAGGGGGCUAGCGUUGUUCGGAAUUACUGGGCGUAAAGCGCGCGCAGGCGGUUCUUCAAGUCAGUUGUGAAAGCCCGGAGCUCAACUCCGGAACUGCCAUUGAAACUGUGGAACUUGAGGAUGAGAGAGGUGAGUGGAAUUCCCAGUGUAGAGGUGAAAUUCGUAGAUAUUGGGAAGAACACCAGUGGCGAAAGCGGCUCACUGGGCCAUUACUGACGCUGAGGCACGAAAGCUAGGGGAGCAAACAGG
rnacentral:rRNA from 1 species